GGGUGAAAAAAACAAACACACAAAUCCAUAAUCUCCUCAGCAACGGGAUGUAAUCAAACAGUCCGUGAUGCAAUCCAACCUUCAACCUUCUGUUGAUGUCAAAGAGAAAUCGCUCAUUUUUGCUCGUGUAUGCGUGCUGUUAUUAUUUCAGGGGUAUGAUUUGAACCCAAAAAUAACCGAAAAUAAUGGCAUGUUGUAUCUUUUCUUUGGAAGGACCUAUGAUUCGAAGUUUAAAAUGAUUUAUAUAAUGACAAGCGUUUAUUGUUCCGGUUACGCGGUCUUGCUGCAUUGCACGGCCGCUCCUGUUCUACCACACACUGAGCGCAUGCUGGCACAUUGCGAGUCCGCUGUCCUGGCACGGUAAACACUACACUACACAGACGUUUGCCAUCGGUCGAAUUAAAUGAUCUGUCCGCAUAUGCAGAAAAAAUACGAGCAAAUGGCGUUGCAAAGACACAGUGCCAGAUAAAAAGAAACAUGAAACACUGUGGAGAUACAUCAACAGCCGAGGAGAAAAAUCCACUACAAUAGGAAUCUUCCGAAGCACACGGGUGUCAACGAAUGGUCUCCGAGUCUUUGUUUUAUUUCUCACGCACCAAGGAUCCCGUGAAGAUGGACAAUGUCCGGCUAGACUCGAAGCUGGAAAGCUAGCCCCCCCCACACCGAUCCGAGACAGCUGCGGAACCCGAGCGGUUCGGCCAUGGUUCAGGUCACACGAGCCGUCUCGUAUUUAAGAAAGUGGUCUGGAAAACGUGGUGAAACCAUUACGGGAAAUCUGAUCAGCGGGGGCACGGCAGACAGCAGUGGCCCAGGCCGGGUAAUUACCGACAGACAAUGAUCCGAGAUCGGCAAGGCCAUCCAACUCCGGCAUAUUGCCUACAACGCAGAAGGCACGGAAAAGGAGGUUUUUCUCCCUUCUUCAUUUUUGAAACCUGCUUGUGAUUAACGAGGAGGAAUUGGGAAAAAAUUCUUGGAGCUGCUCGUAAUAAGCCCGACGCGUCAAGGUGGAGAUAACGAAGUUUCGUUGUGAUGAUGCAGCAGGCCCGCGGAGGUCUCGUGGGGGCACGGCAUGCCGAUCUACCCCACUGCCUGCCGGUGAUGAGCCUGGUGAGACCUUGACAAAUGACCGGCCUGGAGGUCCUUGACAAACAACGAAAAGGAGACACCCAACGACAAAGAGGCCUGCUGAUUGGAGUUUUUGCAUGGAGCGCUUAAAUGCUCUUUUGCAUUGCGAACGAAUCACUCCGUGUCUAGUCUAAUGACACUAUAAUAGAGUGCGAAAUCUCAGCCGUUGAAUUCUUGGGGACUGCCUACACAGUCGAAACAAGCUAUCAUAGAUAAUAUUCAGGGAAGACGCAUGAGUGGGAGUUCAAAAACCUUGCCACAGUCCUGAUGGUCUUGCCUAGUGCUCAAAACAUCGAAGGCUAGUGACGACACACACCGUAACACUUAGCGCUCCCAAUUAUAACACCAUAUACUACAGCUUUAGUCUAUGUAAUAAAUACCCCGCUACAUAAUAAUCACGUUUCGCUGACCAACAUGGACUCAUUAAAGGGCCAAGAAUUUAUUUCCCACUGUUAAAAGCUUAUACGGACUGAUGCGAUUAGGACGACUUAGCUAUUAGAAUUAUCUACCAUUCAAAAGACCAUUUUUGCAGGAUAGGAACGCUCAGUCCAGAACGGAGUGUGCUUGAUUGAAGAUAGAGAUUUUGAGGGAUCUUCUCGGUCGCUUACUUUUCCAAUUUGACGAUUAUGAGUGGGCCUAUUGUGACACCCUCCUAAGUUAGCAUAGCUAGACUUUUUCCAGACUUGGUAAGUGCUGUUAAGCACAUUAAUCGACUAUGAACUGGAAAUCCAUUCUUUGGAAUAUUCUGUGCUUUUACCACACAACAGCAGUGCAAAACCAGGUGAAGGUUCAUGUCCAGAUUCAACCCGAGAGUCAAAAAGCUCAUGUCCGGAAAUUGGGCAUGAAAUCGAGAAGAGGCUUUCCUAACUGGCGCCCUUUUAAUAUAAAUGCCAAUAAAUCCCAAGUGAAUAGGCGAUGUUCUUUUUCUGUCUGAAGUUUAACAAUUGUAAUUUGUCACUCUUACUUAAUAUUUUGGCACCUUCUGUAAAGGGUAAAUAACAGGAACAGGAACUAGUCUGAGGGCAUUGAUGUUAACCCAACAUUUACAUUACACAUUAAGUUUACUGGUUAAAAUCUCUCGGAAUUAGAGUGAACUUUUGGAUAAAAAUUGAUGAUGUAAAUAGUUGAGUUUCUUGUUUUGGUUUCUAUGGCGGGAACUGAAAAAUACUUAUCUUUUCAUACUUGGAAUAUUCCAUGGAUUGAUCUAAUCUGAUAGAGCACCAACCCGAAGGCCCAGAGCACAGUGGUAACGAUUAUAAUGAAAUUUCUUUAUCGUAUCACAUAGAACCCCGAUCCCUUUAAAUUUAGGGACCAUUUAAAAAAAUGAAUAAAAUGUUAUUUGACACGAUUUCCCAAUUUUAUUUGAAGGUGCACCAAGAAUGUUUGUUUCAAAAUACGAUUGAGAGGAUAUAUGAUAGGUGAAGUGUAGACAAGAUGGCCGGCCCCAGCACUGGAAACAGGCAAGCCGCUGGGGUAUUCUUGAAUAAAUACGGACUACCGUAAA